rnacentral:rRNA from 1 species
CAAAGGUAGCGUAAUCACUUGUUCUUUAAUUGAGGACUAGUAUGAACGGCCCCACGAGGACUACACUGUCUCCUUUUUCUAAUCAAUGAAACUGAUCUCCUCGUGAAGAAGCGAGGAUAAUUAUAUNNNNNGGAGAGAAGACCCUAUGGAGCUUUAAACAACCGAAAUACUUGCUAUUUAACUUUACACCUUCUGAAAACUAAACAAAUUAAAGCAUCUUAUCACCAAGUUUUAGGUUGGGGUGACCACGGAGAACAGACUAACCUCCACGCUGAACGAGCCAUCCUCUUAGCUUAAAGUUACAACUUUACGCAUCAACACAUUGACUUCCAUUGACCCAAUUUUUUGACCAACGAACCAAGUUACCCUAGGGAUAACAGCGCAAUCUUCCUUCGAGAGUUCUUAUCGA